rnacentral:tRNA from 1 species
GGCAGGGUACAGCUCAGUGGUAGAGCCCAUGCUUAGCAUGCAUGAGGUCCUGGGUUCAAUCCCCAGUACUGCCA